UACGUAGGAGGCAAGCGUUAUCCGGAAUGACUGGGCGUAAAGGGUGCGUAGGUGGUUUGACAAGUUGGUAGCGUAACUCCGAGGCUUAACCUCGGCACUACUACCAAAACUGUUGGACUCGAGUGCAGGAGGGGCAAAUGGAAUUCCUAGUGUAGCGGUGGAAUGCGUAGAUAUUAGGAGGAACACCAGUGGCGAAGGCGGCCGCCUGGCCUGUUACUGACGCUGAGGCACGAAAGCGUGGGGAGCAAAUAGG
rnacentral:rRNA from 1 species